rnacentral:lncRNA from 1 species
CAGCAUGCCUACAAGCAGGGGACAAGUCAGCUCCUGUUUGGUCAGGCCGGCCAGGUGAAGCAGCCAGAGUGUGCUGUUAAUAUAUUUUUCUUUUCAUCAGUGCAAAGGAUAUUAGCCAUUUCCUCUUCUAUCUAACCAUAAAUACCUUAAUGUUUCUUUUAUAGAACGUGUUAACGAGUAGAUGAGCAAGCUGUUUUUUCCGUAACUCUCCAUACCAGACUGCAGUGGGAGAACACCAAGGAACAAGGCCAAAGACCAAAGAAGGAGAUGAACUGGCAGAAAAAAAGUCCAGUGUGUUAUAUAGGAAUUUCUUUCCCUUUCAGAAACUUUUACCUGAACAAGUAGAUUUGCUCUUACCAGAAGGCCAGAAGGGCUGGAGACUGCAUCAUCACUCACACCCUGGGUGCUUGUGAUCCUGAUGGGGAAAUUGCAACAGUUGAUAGAGGAAACAGGAAGACAACAGGAUCUGGCUAGAGACAGACCAUGUUACCCAUCCCUGGGAGAAAACGCAGUGUGCUGUCAUCCUCUGGCUGAACCUGACUGAAUCUCCC